rnacentral:lncRNA from 1 species
AGACGGGGACAUGAGCAGCGCGCACGGGGUCCCGCGCCCGGCGGCCAGCCCUAUCCGGCGGCGGCCAGCGGGUCAACGCUGCCCGGGAGAAUGAGGCAGGAGCCGGCGGCAGCCUCCUUUUUUUCCUUCUCCUCGCCUUCCUGCGGCUCCGGCGCUCCGGGUCCGGGCCGGGCUGCGGCUCUGCUGCGUGCCCCGCGCGCCCCUCAACCGCCUCCGGAUGCGCUUCUCGGUUAGCCUGGCAAGGAAGAUAAAGACAUUUGCAACCAAGAUGGUAAUCACUAGUGAAAAUGAUGAAGACAGAGGAGGUCAAGAAAAAGAAAGUAAAGAGGAGAGUGUCUUGGCAAUGCUGGGGAUUAUCGGGACCAUUCUGAACCUGAUUGUGAUCAUAUUUGUCUACAUAUACACCACCCUGUGAAUGGCCCAGAGCGUCCUCAGAGGCCUCAGAAUGGCCAAAGACGGAAGUCCUGCGUGUCGGCGCAUCACUGACCAGACCCUGCGAGAACAAGCAGGCUUGACCCGCACAUACCACCCAAUCAAAUGCACCUUCAAACUUUACAAAAGGUCACACAAAUAGACCGAUCCUGCUGCAGGGAGCAGACACUAAAGCACAAUGAUUCCAACAAAACUCAUUCACAGCACUAGGAACUCAACGUCUUUGGCAGGGGGCCCAGAAGAAUGCUUGGAAGACCAGCCUCUGACACCAUCAGCUGAACUCUAUGGACUGCAGCAACA